CUUGGAAAAGGACAGCUGAGAGGGUGAGAGUCCCGUCCGCCUGGUAGAAUGAGUCUUUGUCAACGAGUCGAGUUGUUUGGGAUUGCAGCUCUAUUUGGUGGUAAAUUCCAUCUAAAGCUAAAUAUUGGUGGGAGACCGAUGCGUACAAGUACCGUGAGGGAAAGAUGCAAAGAACUUUGAAAAGAGAGUUAAAGAGUACCUGAAAUUGCUGAAACGGAAGCGAAGGAAACCAGUGUUUGUUGGUUCAUAUUUCCCUGGCCACUUGUGGUUUGGGCGCUGUGAGCUUGCGUGGGUUUGCUUUGGUUGAUCCCUUUGGAAGAGCGCAGUCAGAGUUGAUGUCUGUUGCUAGCACUGGGUUUGACUAAUGCAGACGAAAUGGUUUUCUUUACCCCGUCUUGAAACACGGACCAAGGAGUCUAACAUAUGUGCGAGUACAGGGGUGUCAAACCCCGGUGCGUAAUGAAAGUAACAGUGGUUGGAUAUUUUGCACAAUCCGCCGGCCUCAAUCCUUCGGGAGAACGGUCUGAGUGUGAGCAUACAUGUUGGGACCCGAAAGAUGGUGAACUAUGCCUGAAUAGGGUGAAGCCAGGGGAAACUCUUGUGGAGGCUCG
rnacentral:rRNA from 1 species